AGAUGUGAGGACAAUCUGGCUGCGACAUCUGUCACCCAUUGACCACCAGGGUUGAUUCACUGGUUACACGGGUUUCCCCCUACUCCUUCACCAAUCCAUGUGCGUCCCUCCCAAAGCUGCAUGUUCCAUUGAAGAGGAUGACCUUUCCCCCAGAGAAGAGGACCAGUCUUCGACCAAGGGUAUAUAAGUAGCUCCCCUGCUAGAACUUAAAAAAAACACACAACAACAACCAACACAAUAGCUAUCUGGUGUUAAUGAAUCAAAAUUAUUCCUUUUUUUUGGUCAUAUUUGGCAAAUAUAUAUAUAUAUUUUGUGCC
rfam:Myotis lucifugus cont2.45397, whole genome shotgun sequence.